rnacentral:rRNA from 1 species
CCUACGGGUGGCAGCAGUGGGGGAUAUUGCACAAUGGGGGAAACCCUGAUCCAGCGACGCCGCGUGGGCGAAGAAGUAUUUCGGUAUGUAAAGCCCUAUCAGCAGGGAAGAAGAAAUGCCGGUACUUGAGUAAGAAGCACCGGCUAACUACGUGCCAGUAGCCGGGGUAAUACGUAGGGUGCAAGCGUUAUCCGGAUUUCCUGGGUGUAAAGGGACCGCAGGCGGCACGGUAAUGCUGUUGUGAACGCGCGCGGGCCAACCGCGGGACUGCAUGGGGAACUCCGGGGCUUGAGUGCCGGAGAGGGAGGCGGAAGGCGUGGUGUAGCGGUGAAAUGCGUAGAUAUUAGGAAGAACACCAGUGGCGAAGGCAGCCUACUGGACGGCGACUGACGCUGAGGCACGAAAGCGUGGGGAGCAAACAGGAUUAGAUACCCGGGUAGUC